GGGGGCGCGCGCCGCGCCGUGCCCGCCCCCGCGCCGCGCCCGCGCCCCCGCUGCCCAGCGACCGCAGCAACUGGCUGCGGCACGACGCCGGGGCGCGCUCCGACACUAGGCGCAGGAGCGCAGGUCCUGGUUGGAAGGCAGACAGACAGUGCGCCAUGAGCUGCCAGACUCGCUCGGAGGAGGUGUCCCCACUCGCCUGGUUGCAGAUCUGCACCAACACCUCGUCGCGGAGACCACGGGAUUGCAGGCCCCGGGACGCAAUGUAAUCGGCUAACACCUGCGGCAGUCUCAUCGCACCAUCUCAAUAUGAGUUUGAACGUUGCUACUGCAUCAUUGAAAUCUUGGUCCCUGAAACAAAUCAUAUUUUUUCCAUCUAAAUUGCAUAACAUAAAACGGAAUAUAAACUAGUUUUAUUAGCAUACUACUGUAUAUACUAUAUGAACAAAUA